AUGAACGCUAGCUACAGGCUUAACACAUGCAAGUCGAGGGGCAGCAUGAACUUAGCUUGCUAAGUUUGAUGGCGACCGGCGCACGGGUGAGUAACACGUAUCCAACCUGCCGAUGACUCGGGGAUAGCCUUUCGAAAGAAAGAUUAAUACCCGAUGGCAUAGUUCUUCCGCAUGGUAGAACUAUUAAAGAAUUUCGGUCAUCGAUGGGGAUGCGUUCCAUUAGGUUGUUGGCGGGGUAACGGCCCACCAAGCCUUCGAUGGAUAGGGGUUCUGAGAGGAAGGUCCCCCACAUUGGAACUGAGACACGGUCCAAACUCCUACGGGAGGCAGCAGUGAGGAAUAUUGGUCAAUGGACGAGAGUCUGAACCAGCCAAGUAGCGUGAAGGAUGACUGCCCUAUGGGUUGUAAACUUCUUUUAUACGGGAAUAAAGUGAGGCACGUGUGCCUUUUUGUAUGUACCGUAUGAAUAAGGAUCGGCUAACUCCGUGCCAGCAGCCGCGGUAAUACGGAGGAUCCGAGCGUUAUCCGGAUUUAUUGGGUUUAAAGGGAGCGUAGGCGGACGCUUAAGUCAGUUGUGAAAGUUUGCGGCUCAACCGUAAAAUUGCAGUUGAUACUGGGUGUCUUGAGUACAGUAGAGGCAGGCGGAAUUCGUGGUGUAGCGGUGAAAUGCUUAGAUAUCACGAAGAACUCCGAUUGCGAAGGCAGCCUGCUGGACUGUAACUGACGCUGAUGCUCGAAAGUGUGGGUAUCAAACAGGAUUAGAUACCCUGGUAGUCCACGCCGUAAACGAUGAGUGCUAAGUGUUGGAGGGUUUCCGCCCUUCAGUGCUGCAGCUAACGCAUUAAGCACUCCGCCUGGGGAGUACGACCGCAAGGUUGAAACUCAAAGGAAUUGACGGGGGCCCGCACAAGCGGAGGAACAUGUGGUUUAAUUCGAUGAUACGCGAGGAACCUUACCCGGGCUUGAAUUGCAACUGAAUGAUGUGGAGACAUGUCAGCCGCAAGGCAGUUGUGAAGGUGCUGCAUGGUUGUCGUCAGCUCGUGCCGUGAGGUGUCGGCUUAAGUGCCAUAACGAGCGCAACCCUUAUCGAUAGUUACCAUCAGGUUAUGCUGGGGACUCUGUCGAGACUGCCGUCGUAAGAUGUGAGGAAGGUGGGGAUGACGUCAAAUCAGCACGGCCCUUACGUCCGGGGCUACACACGUGUUACAAUGGGGGGUACAGAAGGCAGCUACACGGCGACGUGAUGCUAAUCCCGAAAGCCUCUCUCAGUUCGGAUUGGAGUCUGCAACCCGACUCCAUGAAGCUGGAUUCGCUAGUAAUCGCGCAUCAGCCACGGCGCGGUGAAUACGUUCCCGGGCCUUGUACACACCGCCCGUCAAGCCAUGAAAGCCGGGGGUACCUGAAGUGCGUAACCGCAAGGAGCGCCCUAGGGUAAAACUGGUGAUUGGGGCU
rnacentral:rRNA from 1 species